rnacentral:rRNA from 1 species
GCUUGUCUCAAAGAUUAAGCCAUGCAAGUCUAUGUAUAAAUCUUUAUACGGUGAAACUGCGAAUGGCUCAUUAUAUCAGUUAUCGUUUAUUUGAUAAUCACUGCUACUUGGAUAACUGUAGUAAUUCUAGAGCUAAUACAUGCGUCAAUGCCCGACUUUGGAAGGGCUGUGUUUAUUAGAUCCAAAACCAAUGCGGGGCAACCCGGAAUAUGGUGAAUCAUAAUAACUGUCGUAUCGAGCAAUCGAAGCGCCAUACAAGUUUCUGCCCUAUCAGCUUUGGAUGGUAGGGUAUUGGCCUACCAUGGCUUUAACGGGUAACGGAGAAUUAGGGUUCGAUUCCGGAGAGGGAGCCUGAGAAACGGCUACCACAUCCAAGGAAGGCAGCAGG